rnacentral:rRNA from 1 species
AUACGGAGGAUGCGAGCGUUAUCCGGAUUUAUUGGGUUUAAAGGGAGCGUAGGCGGGAGCUUAAGUCAGCGGUUAAAUGGUGCGGCUCAACCGUGCCCUGCCGUUGAAACUGGGUUUCUUGAGAGUGCAAGAGGCGGAUGGAAUUCAUGGUGUAGCGGGGAAAUGCGUAGAUAUCAUGAAGAACUCCGAUUGCGAAGGCAGUCCGCUGGGGCACGUCUGACGCUGAUGCUCGAAGGUGCGGGAAUCAAACAGGAUUAGAUACCCUGGUAGUCCGCACGGUAAACGAUGAUUACCCGCUGUCGGCGGUAGACAGUCGGCGGCCAAGCGAAAGCGAUAAGUAAUCCACCUGGGGAGUACGCCGGCAACGGUGAAACUCAAAGGAAUUGACGGGG